rnacentral:tRNA from 1 species
AGGGCUCUUAGCUCAGCUGGAUAGAGCACCUCCCUUCUAAGGAGGCGGUCGAAGGUUCGAAUCCUUCAGGGCUCACA